AGAUCCCGUGCAAUACCUAGGGUAUUGCACGGGGUGCAAUAGCUUUAAUAUCAGCCAUGGAUUAAAUCUAAUGCUCAUAAAAUUGACACGUCAUAUCUCCACGCUGGCAAUCCGCGUGCCUCAAUUUCUCUCGUAUCUCUUCUUUUCUCACUUCAGCAGUUUACCUUUCCCAAAUUUGAAUUUCAGAAAAAAAAAAAAAACUCUCUUGAAGAUUGUAAAUCCAUGGCCGAAUCUCAGUGGGCUUCAGCUCGUCCCACGCCAGCACCAGCACCAGCACCAGCACCACCGGUGAUGUUUCCAUGUCUAGUCUUCUCCUCUUUCAAGAUAGUUAUAUUGUUGAUAUAGUUUGUAUACAAAGAAGUAUAGACCCUGGGGGUUAGUCAGGGGAAACAAAACAGUAAAUGCGGCUGGAGCUAACUACAACAAAACUAGAACCAGUGCUGCCAACUAAACCCAGUGACAAGAGGGAAAUCAUUGCAGAAUAAGAAAACAACAGCCCACAUGUUGCAGGUAGCAGCUAUCCAGUGCAGAAAUCUAGCAGCUACCCAGUGCAGAGGAAAAAAAUGCAGUACCCCACUGCACGCAGCAGGAGGACCCGACACUGUGUAUCAAGAAUUUCUUUGUGCAGCCACAAGGUUCUGGUAUUCAUGCAAGAAAACAACAGCCCUGUCCAGAAUGGCUUUGGGAUGGCUUGAAUCUUCUCAAAAUAGAACUUACUGCUUGCUUUCCAAAUCCCCCAUGACACUGCUGCCCACUUCUCUAGCUCAGGUUUUGAUAACCUUUUUGCCAAUACUUGAAACAAAAGGAAGAAAUCUGUAGGGCCGAUUGAAAAUUGCAAGCUUCAGAUGGAAUGUGCAUAUAGUCAAGAAGCAAGAGACACCUCAAGUGUGGAGCUAAAUGAGUGCUUGUGAUUUUUUUUUUAUUUUAUUAUUUUUUUUUUUUAACAAUUGAGUAGGGUCAUGACACAAUUUUUUAUUUAUAAUUAAGUAGGCGCAUAAGAUUGUUGAAACAUUUGAUCUUGAAUCAUGCGAAACAUAUUUUUUUGAUUAUUA